AUUGAACGCUGGCGGAAUGCUUUACACAUGCAAGUCGAACGGCAGCACGGGGGCAGCCCUGGUGGCGAGUGGCGAACGGGUGAGUAAUACAUCGGAACGUGCCCGGUCGUGGGGGAUAACGUAGUGAAAGUUACGCUAAUACCGCAUACGAUCUGAGGAUGAAAGCGGGGGACCUUCGGGCCUCGCGCGAUCGGAGCGGCCGAUGUCAGAUUAGGUAGUUGGUGGGGUAAAGGCCUACCAAGCCGACGAUCUGUAGCUGGUCUGAGAGGACGACCAGCCACACUGGGACUGAGACACGGCCCAGACUCCUACGGGAGGCAGCAGUGGGGAAUUUUGGACAAUGGGCGCAAGCCUGAUCCAGCCAUUCCGCGUGCAGGACGAAGGCCUUCGGGUUGUAAACUGCUUUUGUACGGAACGAAAAGGCUCUGGCUAAUACCUGGGGCUCAUGACGGUACCGUAAGAAUAAGCACCGGCUAACUACGUG
rnacentral:rRNA from 1 species